UGGGGAAUAUUGCACAAUGGGCGCAAGCCUGAUGCAGCAACGCCGCGUGAACGAUGAAGGUCUUCGGAUCGUAAAGUUCUGUUGCAGGGGAAGAUAAUGACGGUACCCUGUGAGGAAGCCCCGGCUAACUACGUGCCAGCAGCCGCGGUAAUACGUAGGGGGCUAGCGUUAUCCGGAUUUACUGGGCGUAAAGGGUGCGUAGGUGGUCUUUCAAGUCGGUGGUUAAAGGCUACGGCUCAACCGUAGUUAGCCUCCGAAACUGGAAGACUUGAGUGCAGGAGAGGAAAGUGGAAUUCCCAGUGUAGCGGUGAAAUGCGUAGAUAUAUGGAGGAACACCGGUGGCGAAAGCGGCUUUUUGGCCUGCAACUGACACUGAGGCGCGAAAGCGUGGGGAGCAAACAGG
rnacentral:rRNA from 1 species